CGUUGCCAGAGAAAGGACAAACUCCACAAGGCAGGAGCAUGCCUGGAGUUGUCAAGAUGCUGUGAAGAGGUCACCGUUACCGUGGCUGGAACGCAGACGUCAUGGGGUACACGGUAGGACACAGGGUGGGAGAGCGGCGUAUCACCUAUGCCAAGUAAAGCACGAGAGACAAUCCAGAGCUACACGAUCCCAUGUGGCAGCUCAUCAACUUCUUUCUUUUUGUAAUAAUGACAUUUCUCUUGAGGCUUGAGAAUGGAAGAAGAGAUGUCCAUGAAAAUUGCAGCAUUGUAUCAUGGAUUCUGUCUUUCUCCAGUGACUCACUUCAACAUGCAUGACUACCGGGCCAGCACUGUCAGCGAAAGAAGUCUCCUCUGUUACACCUUUGACUGAAGCUGGCAUCAUAAGAUACAAGUCCUCAGUCACCGGCAGCCUCUUCAUCUCCCAUAGGCCCAGUGGACUGCAGGUUGAAAGCUGGAGUAAGGAGCAAUUGAAAUGCAAGAAUGAACCGAACUCAACAGCACUGCAAAUGCACAGAUUCUCUUGUUUUCUGGAAUGCCCUUGAAAGCAAGGAAGCUGCUAGAACAUCAUCCUCUUCUUUGUAAGCUUAGACCUUAUUGAUUAUGAAUAUUUGAGAGUUAAUCUUUGCUUUCUAUGGUCAGUUGCCCACCGAAGACUUGAAAAAAAAAAAGAAACCGCGGUGAUUCACAGGAGCUGGGACAUCUUGAAAACGAAUGCAUUUGGUGGGCCGAUGCCAGCCUGAGUUGUGCUGGGAAAGUUUAAAGACUUUGUUUGUUUGUUUGUUUGUUUAUAGAGCACAAGCAGGGGGAGGGGCAGAGGGAGAGAGAGAAGGAGAAGCUCAAGCAGACUUCAUGCUGAGUGUGGAGCCUGACAAGAGUCUAAAUCUCACAGUCCUGAGGUCAUGACCUGAGCCAAAAUCAAGAGUUGAGUGCCUAACCGACUAAGCCACCCAGGUGCUCAACACUGGGGAAGCUUAGAACACCAAAGUCAAACUGAACUGUUUUUUAAGAGUCCCCAGAGAAGUCUUCCAGAUUGAGUAACUCAGAAUUGAGGAAAUGAACCCUAGGAAUAGGGGGAUGAAGGCUGGGGUAAUGCCAAAAAGCAACAGGUAAGGGCUGAGGUUUCGCAAAGAUGAAUCAAGAUUUUCGUAUUUUCAUACCUGAGGGUUAGUUAGCAUUUCUCUGAAAAGAAAGCAAGCCCAAAAUAAAGGAAACAAAAAUGCAGCA
rnacentral:lncRNA from 1 species